rnacentral:siRNA from 1 species
AGAGAAGGAAUCGUCUUGGGGCA